CUGAUUUUCGGUUUGGUCCACGCGAAAGUGCCUCCCGAUUGAGUCCCGGCCCUGUCUUUAGGCCCCAAGAAGAACGGCGAGAGAACAGAUCCGCAGAAACAACGUUGCGCUGCCGCUCCUGCCGUGCGCUCCCCACCCCCGAUCCGCCCCGAGCCGACCCUGCCUCCGAUCGCCGCCGCCGAGCUCCUCUGCCGGACACCAUGGCUCCGUCGGACCUUCCCUCGCGAGUGACGGCCCUCUUCCCGACCAGAUCGGCGACGGCGACGACCGGUGAUGAACACAUGCCUGCCCCAUUCUUAAUUCUCCCGGGCAGUCUGGGAUGCAGAUGCCGCCGCCAUUCUUCCGCACAGCUGAGUACGCGGAAGUCGCUGUUGCCUGCAACUCAGCCGCCUCCAUCGUGUUCCCCUGCGAAGUUGAGGAGGGUUCGUUGUCCGGGCAUCGCAUCCUCCUGCUUGUCCUCUACCACAGGGUCGUCGCCAUCUUCCGUCACCACGACCACCUCUGCCGUGUCCUCUACGGCUCUACCACGGGUCAGCAAGAGCAUACCACCGCAUGUCCUCUUCACAUGAUAAGGAGAGCAUGAGAAAGGUGUUGUGGAUACAUAUAUGAAUGCCCGCCAGAAGAAGAGAAAGGUGUUUGGCUGCAAAUCAGUUUUAUGUCAAACUGCACAUAAAUAUGAUCAAGUACUUGUUGUCUUUUUGCUGGUAGGGAGAGCAGGAGAAAGGUGUUGUGGAUACAUAUAUGAAUGCCUGCCAGAAGAAGAGAAAGGUGUUUGGCUGCAAGUUAUUGUGUUCGUAGGCUGUCCAUAUCACCGGGACUAAGGGAAAAUGUUCAACUGCCGCGUUCCUGUCUAAUAUCAUGAGGGAGCAAGCAUAAACUGUCGGCUGCUAUUCCAGUCCACACCUUUUAACAAUCCGAGAGCGCAUCACCGGUUUCAGCUGCAUCUUUGAGGGAUCUUUUUGAUCUGGCCAAGGAAGAUAUUGAUGAAUCAAUCGAAUCAGAAAAUAGAUCCCUGUCACACUUUGAGAUAUUUUUUUGUAUGUCCCCGAAUGGGAUCCUAUACAAUACAAAUAAACGAAAAGCAUAACAAGAGAAAUAGCAAAGGUACUAUCGAUUUUCCUUCAAUAGUUUGCAUCUCACAGCAUUGAACAUUACAGGUUAGAAAAAGAGUGAUCCUCCGUUAUCUCAUAUUAAUUCAUUCAAUUGUAACGACAAAAUAAACGGUAAAUUAGGGAUUCACUGAUGGUUUGCUCAUGUACUCCAUGUGACUAUAUAUCUACCUUGUAUUGUAUCUCUUUAGAAGCAGCGGAAACUGGGAAGAAAAUUGUAUGACACAAGAAGAGAUACUUUUAGAAGCAGCAGAAACAGGUUCCCCUUGUAUAUCUCUUUCUACCUUUACCCAAACAUAUAUUAAAAAAAACAAGUUUUGAACGAAUAUUUAUUAAUUAUCUUUGUAUAUUUAUAUUUCUAGCGAUUAUGAGCACAACAAAUCUUUUCUUUCGAGAGCACUCAAAGCACGUGCCUUACUUUUAUAGAAGAGAGCAAAACAAUUUACAAGAGGUCUAGCGAGUGCGGAACACUCCAAGACUAACACCCACCACCACUCCUACAAGGAACCCAAAACUAAUCUCUCACAAAGCGUUGUAAGCUACCUCCUCCCCGGGCCGCCAUCUUCCAAUCUCUAAGUUCAUCAAGUAUCUUCUUCGCGAGUUCCUGUGCAACCACCUGUUGCUCAGCUCUGUUAAACACCCUGGCAUUCCUUUGCUUCCAGAGACAUCAUGCCGUGCAAAUGACCAGGGUGUCGAACCCACGUUUGUCUUCCUUCGCAAAGCACAACAAAUCUUGAAGCAUGUGCUGUCAAGAGAGGAGGAAGUGAAGAAAAAGAUUAUUGUUUAGAAAACCAUUUAUGACGAUCCUACGGCUUGGUUUUACUCGAGAGAUGGUAACUGCUCUAUACCUAAUUUGUGGAGUAAUCAACUACAUUUUUUUGUACUCCCCAUUUCAUUAUAUGAAUCUGUGUCCUACAUAUGCAUAUUAUGAAUUAUCGGACUUCUAAAUUAACAGAAUUUCAUCUUGAAUUCAUCAAUGGGGCAUCAUUUUGGACUACACUUAACUAAGACCAAAUAUAAAUGCCCUAGAGGCCUUAACACUAGAUUGAAUUCUGUAAUUUUUUUAUGUCACAUUUGAAUGUGUUGGCAAGUAAGCGGCUCUACAUCGAUCUUGCCAAUUCCAUUUCUAAUAGGCAUGAGCCCCUUGUGUUCUGGACAACUAAGGUUACAUGCAUAAUUACCUAAUCAUGUACCAAUUCUGAGUCAGACGCGUGCAUUUGGAUUGGAUAUUGAACCAAGCCCGCCAUUUUAUUACUCUGAAAGAACUAUACAAUGAUAUUUGGCUAUUGCUUUCAGUAUUAGAGAAGCAUGGAAACUGAACUGCGGGGCUUUCUAUAUUUUUAUGUGACAUUCCUCUAUGCCAUCGUGCCAUACUAUUUAUUUUGAGCAACCUCUCUAUGCUAUUUUCUUGGACAAUUUUCACUGUAAUCUCUAGCACCUCAAUAUACGGUAAACAACUGCAAGCUUGGGUAUUUUUUUUCUCAUCUUGUAUUCAUAUUAUUUGCUAUGUUACUUUAGCAAUCAAAUAGAAUCAGACACAAGCUCCAGUUAGUCCUGUGUAAAAACUAAUGUGCUGGUGUGGACCAUGAAUUCCUUAUUUUGUCU